GCCAGCAUGGUGUAGUGGUUUGAGUGCUCGACUAUGACUCUGGAGAACAGGGUACGAAUCCCUGCUCGGCCA